AUAGCAGUGUUUAAUGAAUAACCCUGGUUGAGUGCUGUUUGGCUGGUUUAAUAGUAAAUCUCUGGCUGAUCCAGGAGACUGAGUGCGCUGUGUGCUCUUUCACAGAUCAGGAUGAGUCACACACAUCCGAACUAGCACGUCAGCUCCUGCAAAUUCCCUAAUAGUGCAAUUUGUUGCUUUUUGUAACAGGGUGAGCGAUCGUGGAGUUUGCAUAGCGGACGUGAGUGAUCGUCCAAAAAAUCGUUCUAAAGUAUCUGGAAACCAAGUCAAAGGUGCUUCCUAACCCCGGGGCUACGAAAUACAACCAGUCUCCUCCGAAACGUCGUGAAUGGCAAAAGCGAACAAAAUCAUUUUCUACUUAUCUGAUUUUUUACUGCCCGGCCUUUUCUCUCUAGUGAAAAACCAGAUAAUAAACAUUUAGCAACUCAACUACGUACAAAAAAAACACAGUAAGUUAAUUCUUGAACUUUACAUUUCUACAAGAAUUAUCUUUUAAAAAUGAACAAGGAAACGAGGCUUUCAGUAACUGCGUCAAAUAACUAUUUUCAAGAUCGUCGGGACCUCACGAAGGAUCGUACUGAGAUUCUGCACUUAAGAAAACACACAGCGCUGGGGCUUUGAAACCAAAUGUUGACAGGCUAAGCACUAAUGUGUACAACUUUCUCGCACAGGCCACGACGUUUCUGUGAAAAAAAAUGCAGUAAACUACUCGCUGCUCUGUUAAACAGCAAAUAAACAACGGGGUCACGUCCGCGGAAAUCUUUCAAAAUGUUAAUUGCCUGAAGCUUACAGCAAACGCUCCUUUUUUUUGUUCUCUCUCCUUUUUUUCUAACCACUUUCUGCUGGGGUGCCUGCACUUUCCAAUCCAUAAAGUCACGCAGAUUCUGUUGUGGCUCUGCCUCGCUUACCCACAGCAACCGAGGUGAACUUUUCUUUUCUCCCCUACAACAAGGUGUUCGGCUCCCAGUGACUGAAGUCAUGUUGGGACACACACAGCGCUGCCAUCAUUACAGUCAAGUUAUUUUUAAACCUAGCCUACGGUUGCGGGCUCCUUUCCAUCAAAACAUUCAGCGUUAUUUCAGCUGAAUACUGCCUUUUAAAUCCACCAGCGAGCCUAGAGGGUGACUUUGGAAGACGUGAUACUUCGAUUCCACAUGUGCUGCUCUGGACCAACUUGACUGCACGCUCUCGCAAAAGUGCAAAAUGCUUGGACCCUUGUUACGAUGCCAAACCCAAAACACAACUGCUGCUUGUUUUAUGGAACAGAUCAAGAUGGACAACAGAAAGGCACUUAGAAGAAAUUGACAAAUAACUACCCCUGCUGAGAUUAUAGUGUUGAAAUGGAGCAGCACUGAUGCUAUUAACAUGGGAUUUGAAGAAAAUGGUAACCUGUAAGUUAAAAGCUGGUAGUUAGAAUUCCCAUCCAUUCAGAGGUAAGGAAUUAAAUAUUCAUCUAUAAUAAUAAUCAACCCUUGAGUUCUACAGAAAUCGAUAUGAGUAUCUACUUACAGUGGUAAAUGUAUGAAUUAUGACAGAAAACAUUUAACUUGCAAAACGUAUAAUAAUAUGAAUAAAAGAAAUUACUCCUCCAAUUCUCAAAAUUGUAUGCUGACUCAUGGAAAGCUUUCAGGAUUAAGCCACUUUAAAUUCAGUCACAGGAUGUGGCCCACUAUUUAUUAUCUAUCCCUUAUUUUUAUGAAUCAACCACAUUGCUCUGGGUUUGGAGUCACACGUAGGCCAGACCAGGUAAGGAUGACAGACCUCUUUCCCUAGAGAACAUUAGUUAAAUAAGUGGGUUUUUCCAACAAUCAACAGUGAUUUCAUAAUUAUCAUUAGACCCUUAAUUCCAGAUUCUUUAUUAAAUUCAAAUUCUAUCAUGCCAUGGUUCUUUCAGAUGUUGCAUCCACCACCUUAUGUUGAUGCCCUGUUGAAGGAGGUCAGUGAAUAUCCUCCACUAGUAAACUCAGGAUUUUCAUAUUACAAGUUAUACUGUCAUAUUUCAAGCUCAUUAUUUGCAAAAUUCUUACAAUUAACAUUGCGUAAAGCUUGUGGCAGUGAUUAUUUUGACUUUGUUGCCAGCUGUUUCUACCACAUAAGCUUUUUGUACCAAUGCUUAUACUUAGACAUGUACAGGUAGAAAGUUUUUUUUAAAUUACGUCCUUGUUGGACAUUAAAAAUGUGCAAAAGUGUGCAGAUUUGGAAGUGGAUCAGCUUGUGCCAGAUCCACACAAACACUGAACCCAUUGCUAAAUUUGUGAGGAAUAUAAUUUUAGACAUGAUUAAAAAUCUCAUGAAUCACAUGCUAUUGAUGUGGCUAAUACCCAUUUAAAAUGAUCCCCUUUAAACUUCCUUAGGCUUGCCUCAUCUGGGUUCUUCAGUGGCCCCCAAAAUUGCCGAUAGAAAACCAAGUGUUAGGAGCAUUUUAUUUUCAUCUAAACUUCCUGUGGAUCCAACCGGACGCUUAUUCCACUGUACUGGCGGUUACCCCCAUUGCAUCUAAUCUCAGACUAACUUCAGUUCAUUUCUUUCAUGGACUGAGAAGCCUAUUGAGGCACGCCAGAUGCCAGCAAUUCCUGUGAAUAACUAAGUAUAAUUUCAGGCAAUUUUAAGUUUCUCUGAAUUAUGUGCUCAUUGGGCACGCAGAGUGCAAUUGGUCCAGAAUUUGGCCUGCAUAAGAUAUAUUGUUAACUCCAAACAAACAGUAACAAGCUGAAUUCUUUGUAGCAAUAGACUGUAGAACUAACUAAUGACUAACAAAAUAAAAGGAGUCAACAAUAGACUGGCUUCUCCCAAAGACAGUCAUUUAUUUAUCAGUGAGUAGAACUAUUCCAAAGAUUCUGAAUUAACCCUUUUGGGCAAUUGCCUUAUUCAGCAUUUUCCUGAAGCUUUUUCCCCUUGUUUAAUUCAUUACACAAUUGCAAAGCAAGUCCACCAAAUGUACCACUGUCCCUUCAGGCCCGAGUCUCAGACUUUUCACGUUCUUCUAAAUUUAGAUGAGCAAUUUUUUUUUGCUUCAGGAUGUUCUCCUCAGAUAUUGCUCUUUGUCAUUCAGUGCCAUGUUGAGAUCUUUAUUUAGUGAACGUUUUUACUGAACAUAUUUGUUGGCGUUGGUAAUGAACAAAUUUCCUUCCGGAGGAUUUUGAAUUUUCUCAAUGCGUAUAAUGCAAAAUAGUUAAUGUGAUGAGUCAGUGAAGAAGUAAUCUCCUUUUGACUUUGUCAUGAGGUCACUUUCAGUGAAGGUCUUCCACUGUGAGCCCUGUUCUUUGAGCCCAAUCAGCAUUUUGUUUGAUUUUGUUGUUGUCAGUGGCACUGGCUGUGUAGUAUUAGAAUCUCUUUCUAGAUCAAUUGUGGCCGUAGACUGAUUAUGUUAAGAGUUAAGCCAGUCUUGAAAGUUCUCCCAUUGGUUAGGAACAAGUAAAUAACUUUUUAGCCCUGUGAAAAGUUUCUUCCCUAUUGGUAAUAUUAAACGGUAGUUUUAUACCAGCAUAACUGAUCUCAGUUAAUGUUCACUUCUUUCUGGGUCUAACCCAUAUUGCUUUGAGCACAGUAAAGCCUUCUUAUUCCUGAUGUAAGUCAAUUUGGUCAGUAAUGGAUCCCUUCUUGGAUUGCUGAAUCUGCUCCAAAUUUCAAGAUCUUCAGAGCAAAAUGUAUCUGCUACUCAGCAGGAAGUCUUCUGGUUCUGGAUGCCACAAGCACAUUUUGUGAACUGAUGAUCUUUAUGUCUCAAAGAAAUCUUUUACAUUCCUUUAAUCUUGAAGGUCAUUCUACAUGUUCACUAUACCAUCAGAUUUUCAGUUUGUAACUCUACAUUUUGCAAUCAAGGAGUUUCAUAAGGAGUAAUAUUUACUCCUACAUCAAGCUUGAAUUAAGUCGGAUGUCCAUUGACAUUGAUGAGCUCAAACAUGUCUGGUUCAGAUGAGUAGCUUGUUUCCAUGAGGAACUGUUGUGAUAUUUCUUCCAAAGAAAGAAUGCCAUCAUCUAAGAAUACAUGUUCGAAUGGAAGUAUCUUCUGGAAGCUAAAAUUAUUUUCUUAGGUUUUAAUCUUAGAUGCAACUAGUAUUGUUUCCAUUGUUUAAAGAUUGCAAAACAUCUCACUUUGUUCCAAAAGUGACAUUCUUGUGAUGGAGUUGGACGUUGCUUUUAUUAGUGUGGCAUUUUUGCCCCACAUCUUAGACAGUGAUGCCUAGAAUCAAAAGAUUUGAACACUGGCUUGUUUUGUGCUUGUGCUAUAUGAAGUUGAUAGGUUCGAUGGUCUUCAGGAGUAAAUCUUUCGUUCUGUUUCCCAGAUUUUUCUGUGGUUUUUCUGAAUGUCAGCUUCUAACACAAACUCCAUAUAACCUUGUUCAUUGUGAUAUCUUUCUUUAAUUGUAAAAGAUUUGAAAGAGAUGAAUCAGAAAUUCUCAUGACAAAUCUGUCUCUAAUUAGUUGUAAUAUUUCAUACUCACAAAAUUCAGACAGCGUAUCAAGAUCAUUGAUGAUGUUAUUGUGGUGAAUUCUAAUGGGAGUGCACUGGAAAACCAGCCCUACUACUCCAUUGGUCAUACUAAAUGUGAAAAUAUCUUAUUCGAUCACCAAAAAUGUCAAUUGUUUUUCUCCUCAUUACAGAUAACUAGAAGAAGGGUCUUUCACUGGGCUUUCCAAUAAGAUGUAUAAUAACAUGUUUCUUACAGGUAUUCCUGGACACCGGCAUCAUCUGAGAAAGAAUGACAAAUAGCAAAAUUCGCAACUGACCUUGGAGUUGGAGAGCUUACAGCAGGGGAGCAGCUAAGUGCUUUUAAAAAGUUGCGACGAGAGCGAUGUUGCAGUCCUCCAGCAUCUGUCUGAAUACUUUAUUCAGUAAGAAAGAAUACAGAAAUCCAGAAGGGAAGAAAUCAAAUGAGCCCAUAAUGGAUAUGAGCUAAUUGGCAAAAUUCAAAGUCUGUAAAGUGAUCAGAGCCAGACCUGAUCAUCCAUAUCAGCUUUCAGAACAUGAACUGAAAUGUAAAACUUUGGGAGACAAGGUCAUCAUCUGGCAUCGACGUGAAGUGGUUUUGCUGCUUCUUAUUAGUGCAUUACAUCAUCAUCUUUUGCAGGGACAGAGAUUUCUUCAGGUGCUUAUUCUGCUUAUUAAGGACAUAAUUAAAUUUGCACUAAAGAUACUCAAGAGCUUAUGAGUUUGAGAAAACUACACACGAAGAAAGCCUUUCCAGUGUAUUAAUCAGCCAAAACCUUUAUUCUGUAGCCUUCCCCCCUCCCUUAUUUGCUGGAAGCAAGCAAUCAGCAUCUAUUAUUACUAACAAACCCUCCUGAAAUUUAAUUGGGGUAAAAUCCACCAGAGCACUUGUUCUGUAAAAAUGAAUUCUCAGAACACUGCCUGUUCAACUUAAGUUUUUUUUAUCUUCAAUUGUGGAAUGCUUUUCAAUUAAGCUCAUCCUUUCUACUUAAAAAACUUUAGCCAAUUUUUUUUUGUUGCACAAAUACAAGUGGAAACAACUUAAAUGCUGGGAUAAACUCAAAAACACAAUAGCAGUUUGUCUGUGCCUAUCAACAAAAUGAGUCUGUUUUUUUCCCUCUAUUGUAGAUCUUACCAUUAUGCGAUAUCCAACAUAGGCCCCAAAAACGAGUCCCACAAAGUCCUUAGAACAUUAUUGUUUUAAAUAAAUCAAAGUUGCCUUGCGGCUUUACAUAGAAGAAGAAAUUAAGCAACUGCCUGGCAAAAGUACUUAUGAACUCUUAAACUAAUUAAUGUGCUGCAGACAAAGGUACAUUAUACCCGAGAACUUUAGGAAAAAUGCUAGUGGUCAUAUAUAUAACUGAUUGUGGUAUCUAGCUUGUCAUUAAUCUAAAAUUUAUUUUAGUAUUACAACUAGCUAAAAUUGUUCUUAAAUUUAUGUUUCAUGAACAAUCAUCAUUCACUUCUCCUAUUCCAACGGCUCGAACUUGAUUCUCAUUCAUAUGCAACUAACCUCUACAACUGAGUUUGCUAUGUUUCAGCAAGGCUGGAGUUGAAAUGACUUAGUAGAACGAUUGCACAAGUCAGGUCUGAUAAAAUCAUAGAGAACUUUAUCAACUUCUCUGCCCCCCCCGCACACCUCCCCCCCCCACCCCGUCCCCAUCAGCACACCCCACCUACCCUGUGUGCGAAGACUGCCUUCUGUUGGACAAUGCUGCAGAGAAGUCAAUUGGCUGGUCAGUGUUGGCCAGCGGUUUGAAUGAAAAUGCGAAAGCAGUGACAAAUUUGCUUUAAUAUGCUUUGCUCCCAACACCUGCUACUCCCAACUCCCAUUUCAUCCCAGUCUACUUUUGCAUUUUCUUUGUUCUUUAUUGGGAAGAGGAUUGUCUUUAAAGUUUUAUUGUGGGUUUCAAAUAAAAACGAUGAAAAACCUCUUUGACUCUUUAUGGGCUGAAGGACAUUUUGUUUGCAAGAAACAAAUGUGUUUUCCAGUUUGUUUGUUAAAAUUAACGCCCAUGUAAAACAUUCUAACAUUGAGUAUUUGGAACAUUCUUCAAACAAAAGGCCUUUAUUGAUUGUAAUAUAUAAAGAAAUUGAAAGAAAUUUUUUUUUGGAUGUGCAACUUGAAACGACACUUUGGUGCAAUAAUAAUCUUAUUCGACUAAUAUUAUUUUACUAACUUGAUGACAGCCAGAAAGCUAAGAUAGUAUUUUUAAAAAUAAUUUGGUUGUUUAAUACAUAAAGGUUGACAAGGACUUAUAUCUUUUUAUUUAAAAUUGUUUGUGUUUACAUGAGUGUCCAUCAUAUGUAUUCAGUGCUGUGUUGUCAUAACGUUGAGCAAGUUGGGAAAAAACAGACAGAAUGAAAAAAAUUAGAAUGUUGAUAUAGCAAAAAAUGUUUUGCAAAUUUACUCUUAAAUCUUAAAUGGUUUUUUGUUACCACAAUGUUGCCAGGACUGGAGGAUAUGAGUUAAAGGGAGAGGCUGUAUAGGCUGGGACUUCUUUCACUGGAGUGUACAGGUUGAGGUGUGACCUGAUAGAGGUUUAUAAAAUCAUGUGGGGCAGUGAUAAGGUGAAUAGUAAAGGUCUUUUCCAUAAAGUAGGGGAGUUCAACAAUCGAGGGCAUAUUUUUAAGUUGAGAGGAGAAACAUUUAAAAGAGACCUGAGGGGUAACUUUUUCACACAGAGGGUCGUUGACAUGUGAAAUAAACUGCCAGAGGAAGUGAUGCAGGCACUGUUACAACAUUUAAAUGACAUUUGGACAGGCACAUGAAUAGGAAAGAUUUAGAGGGAUAUGGGCCAAAUGCAACUAGUUUAGUUUGGGAAACUCAGCAUGGAGGAGUUGGGCCAAAAGUUCUGGUUCCAUGUUGUAUGACUCUUAUGACUUUAUUUCCAUACAUUUGCAUCUUAAUCAUACUGUACACCACUUCUAAUUCUCUGGUCCAUUCCUGAGAAACUCAACUGUGCAAGUUCCAAAUCAUAGGGCAGAGCAGGCACCUGGCAGGCAGCUCAAUGAUUGCCUGUCUUGCUAUCACCCCAUUAUAUCUGCACCAUAUUGCUCCUGCACAUUUUGUGGCUGCCAUAUUCCUUGAUGCUUCAUUCACACAAGUCAGCAUUGGCAACGUUAAUCCCACAUUAUCAUCAUCCCAGCUCUUGGACCAGCACACACACUACUUCAGUCCAUGAACAUUUUACUUAAAAGUUCAGGGACCCCUAAAACUUUCCUGCUUUUUCCAAGUUGCUUUAUGCACAGGGGUACAAGCAAACAUCUCAUAAAUUUGUAUAGGUUGCAUUUUAUAGACCUUAUCUUGCUUUGUUGGUGCUCACUCAUUCACCUUGCACCGUCUUUGCUGCCGCUUUUAAUCUACCUUGUAUUACUUCCAUUGGACAUGCUCACUGACUUCAGUACUGUAUUUCAAGCUGCCAGCCUCUCUGUAGGUUAAAUUAGGCUAAUUUUUCCUGUUUGCUCCAGUGAAGCAUUUUUUGGAGUGAGAGUCAUGAUGGGUGGUCUGCCAUGGCACUUGUCAACUUUCCCACUCAUUUGUCCACUCUUUAUUUCAUUAAUUAUGUGACCGACUAUUUUGUGGAAUUGUAUGGGAGAAGGGGCGGAUGCACCAUUGCUGCUUAGACUUUGCAACACUUAUGCCGUUGGCACCGUGCUUAUACUCCAGCUCGAAAACAUUUCACAAGCUGAAAGCUGCAAACUGCUUUUCGCAAUGACCCAGCCCUGUUAUCCCAAAGAAAAUGGCCCAGAAAAGGAAGUGAGUUUCUCAGUUCACUGACAGGGAGCUGGCUUGCUUGCUGGUUGGAGAGAUGGAGAGUAAUACAUUUCCAGGGGAGCAGUAAAAGAGGCCAUGCCACCAUCCUCAACCAGCCAGGGCUGAGAUAGUGACCCAGGUCAGUGCAAUGUGAGGUGAAAUGCAAUGCUCCACUGUGCAGGGAAAAGGUGAAUUGAUCUUUUGCAGUCCACUAGUGUAAAUGCCACUAUCUUCUCUCUUCUACUCACCAUUUGAGGACCACCACUACAUCUAAUUCAGUGACUGCACACCCAUCUCACCAAGGGUCAUGGAUUACAACUUUGACUACUGCAUGCAGCAU